GAUGAACGCUAGCUACAGGCUUAACACAUGCAAGUCGAGGGACCGGCGCACGGGUGAGUAACACGUACCCAACCUUCCCUUUACCCGGGGAUAGCCUUUCGAAAGUAAGAUUAAUACCCGAUAUCAUGGAUGGGGAUGCGUUCCAUUAGGUUGUUGGUGAGGUAACGGCUCGGCAAGGCUUCGAUGGAUAGGGGAUCUGAGAGGAAGGUACCCCACAAUGGAACUGAGACACAGACCAAACUCGUAGGGGAGGGAGCAGUAAGGAAGAUAAGGCAAUGAGCGCUAGCCUGAACCAGCCAAGUAGCGGGAAGGAGGAAGGGGUAUGAGUCGUAAACUUCUAUUAAAGAAGAAUAUGUAUUAGAAGAAUAAGGAUCGGCUAACUCCGUGCCAGCCGCCGCGGUAAUAC
rnacentral:rRNA from 1 species